UACGUAGGGGGCAAGCGUUAUCCGGAUUUACUGGGUGUAAAGGGAGCGUAGACGGUGAGUCAAGUCUGAAGUGAAAACCCAAGGCUCAACCAUGGGCAUGCUUUGGAAACUGACCCACUUGAGUACCGGAGGGGUAAGCGGAAUUCCUAGUGUAGCGGUGAAAUGCGUAGAUAUUAGGAAGAACACCGGUGGCGAAGGCGGCUUACUGGACGGUAACUGACGUUGAGGCUCGAAAGCGUGGGGAG
rnacentral:rRNA from 1 species